rnacentral:rRNA from 1 species
UACGUAGGGUGCGAGCGUUAAUCGGAAUUACUGGGCGUAAAGCGUGCGCAGGCGGUUCGUUGUGUCGGUGGUGAAAUCCCCCGGGCUUAACCUGGGAAUGGCGCUUGAAACUACGGGACUGGAGUAUGGCAGAGGGAGGUGGAAUUCCACGUGUAGCGGUGAAAUGCGUAGAUAUCUGGAGGAACACCGGUGGCGAAGGCGGCAUCCUGGACCGGUAUUGACGCUGAGGCGCGAAAGCUAGGGGAGCAAACGGG